rnacentral:rRNA from 1 species
AGUGACGGUACCUGCAGAAGAAGCGCCGGCUAACUACGUGCCAGCAGCCGCGGUAAUACGUAGGGCGCAAGCGUUAUCCGGAUUUAUUGGGCGUAAAGAGCUCGUAGGCGGUUUGUCGCGUCUAUCGUGAAAGUCCGAGGCUCAACCUCGGAUCUGCGGUGGGUACGGGCAGACUAGAGUGAUGUAGGGGAGACUGGAAUUCCUGGUGUAGCGGUGAAAUGCGCAGAUAUCAGGAGGAACACCGAUGGCGAAGGCAGGUCUCUGGGCAUUUACUGACGCUGAGGAGCGAAAGCAUGGGGAGCGAACAGGAUUAGAUACCCUGGUAGUCCAUGCCGUAAACGUUGGGCACUAGGUGUGGGGGACAUUCCACGUUUUCCGCGCCGUAGCUAACGCAUUAAGUGCCCCGCCUGGGGAGUACGGCCGCAAGGCUAAAACUCAAAGGAAUUGACGGGGGCCCGCACAAGCGGCGGAGCAUGCGGAUUAAUUCGAUGCAACGCGAAGAACCUUACCAAGGCUUGACAUGUUCCAGAUCGCCUCAGAGAUGGGGUUUCCCUUCGGGGCUGGUUCACAGGUGGUGCAUGGUUGUCGUCAGCUCGUGUCGUGAGAUGUUGGGUUAAGUCCCGCAACGAGCGCAACCCUCGUUCCAUGUUGCCAGCGGGUUAUGCCGGGGACUCAUGGGAGACUGCCGGGGUCAACUCGGAGGAAGGUGGGGAUGACGUCAAAUCAUCAUGCCCCUUAUGUCUUGGGCUUCACGCAUGCUACAAUGGCCGGUACAAUGGGUUGCGAUACUGUGAGGUGGAGCUAAUCCCUAAAAGCCGGUCUCAGUUCGGAUUGGGGUCUGCAACUCGACCCCAUGAAGUCGGAGUCGCUAGUAAUCGCAGAUCAGCAACGCUGCGGUGAAUACGUUCCCGGGCCUUGUACACACCGCCCGUCAAGUCACGAAAGUUGGUAACACCCGAAGCCGAUGGCCUAACCACCUUGUGUGGGGGGAGUCGUCGAAGGUGGGACUGGCGAUUGGGACUAAGUCGUAACAAGGUAGCCGUACCGGAAGGUGCGGCUGGAUCACCUCCUUUCU